AUGCACGCUGGCGGCGUGCCUCAUACAUGCAAGUCGCGCGCACAGACGAGGAGCUUGCUCCUCUGACGUUAGCGGCGGACGGGUGAGUAACACGUGGAUAACCUACCUAUAAGACUGGGAUAACUUCGGGAAACCGGAGCUAAUACCGGAUAAUAUAUUGAACCGCAUGGUUCAAUAGUGAAAGACGGUUUUGCUGUCACUUAUAGAUGGAUCCGCGCCGCAUUAGCUAGUUGGUAAGGUAACGGCUUACCAAGGCGACGAUGCGUAGCCGACCUGAGAGGGUGAUCGGCCACACUGGAACUGAGACACGGUCCAGACUCCUACGGGAGGCAGCAGUAGGGAAUCUUCCGCAAUGGGCGAAAGCCUGACGGAGCAACGCCGCGUGAGUGAUGAAGGUCUUCGGAUCGUAAAACUCUGUUAUUAGGGAAGAACAAAUGUGUAAGUAACUAUGCACGUCUUGACGGUACCUAAUCAGAAAGCCACGGCUAACUACGUG
rnacentral:rRNA from 1 species